rnacentral:rRNA from 1 species
GUGGGGAAUCUUGCGCAAUGGGCGAAAGCCUGACGCAGCCAUGCCGCGUGAAUGAUGAAGGUCUUAGGAUUGUAAAAUUCUUUCACCGGGGACGAUAAUGACGGUACCCGGAGAAGAAGCUCCGGCUAACUUCGUGCCAGCAGCCGCGGUAAUACGAAGGGGGCUAGCGUUGCUCGGAAUUAUUGGGCGUAAAGGGCGCGUAGGCGGACAGCUUAGUCAGAGGUGAAAGCCCAGGGCUCAACCUUGGAAUUGCCUUUGAUACUGGCUGUCUUGAGUGUGGGAGAGGUGAGUGGAACUCCGAGUGUAGAGGUGAAAUUCGUAGAUAUUCGGAAGAACACCAGUGGCGAAGGCGACUCACUGGCCCAAUACUGACGCUGAGGCGCGAAAGCGUGGGGAGCAAACAGGAUUAGAAACCCCAGUAGUCC